rnacentral:lncRNA from 1 species
GAGCAUCUUCAGCUUUGACUGUGAAGACACAGCUUUGACUCUCUGUGUUGCAGAGAUGGUAGUGCCCACUCCAGUGACGCUUGUGAGGAUUAGUUGAGAUAAUAAAUACAAAAUGCUGAGCAUCAAACCUAGAGUAGAGAAAGGUCUCAAGUAAGUACUCAUUACCAGUAUUUGUUAUUUAAUUUCACUUUUGUCUACAUUCCCUUGUGUGAAAUGGUUUGGAUAAUUAAUUAAGGAAAACUUUCCCUCAGGGACAUUGCUGAUAUUGCAAUCUUCACUAGAUACACUUAUCUCUACCUCCGCCUCCACCUCCACCUUCACCUCCAUCUCUUCUCUGUCUCUAUCUCUAUCUUCCUGUUGUUUAUCUAUCUAAUUAUUUAUAAAUGAACUGGUGGGUUUGUUGUUGUUGCAGCCUGGCUAAUGUUAUCCAGACAUAUCUGAAACCUCAUGAGUGGCAUGGAAUGGCAGUCCCUGCUUGAACCAUUUACCUCCUUUCCUAACACCAACAAUCACACACACCUGACACUGACCUGAAGCCUCUGGCCUGUCCUCGGAGGCAAAGACUGGGUAGACAAGAUGCCUGGUUACCAGCAAUCUUCUGCAAUUUCCUCUGAGCUAUUGAGAUUGCUUUUCUCUUUGCUCAAAUUAUGUGAGAAACUUUUAAAAAAGAAUUUAAUGUGCUCUUUUGAUAUUUCAGGUGUUCAUUCAAAAGCCUAUGUUAUUCUCUGUCUCUCUGUCUCUUUUCCUAGUUGGGUAAUCAAAAUGGCACAAUCAGAAAUAUUUAUAUCUGCAACAGAAAAGAAGAAUAAAUUUAUUCAUGCACAAGUACAUUAUGUACAUAUAUAUGUUUGUGUAUACAUAUAUCUGUAUAAUUGAUAUAUUUGGGAGAAAUAAAAGGUUUCAUUAAGCACACAAGUUCUAGAGUUAGACCCUCUGUCGCAAAUUACUGUCCUGUCACUUAACUCCUGCCAGAACAAAGUGCAUACUUGAACAAAAUGCCUGCUCUGUAAAAAUGCCUUGAUCUUGAAUAAAAUGCCUGCUAGGUCAAAGCUUCUAUUUUCCCACCUAGAAAAUGGGAACAAUAAUAAGAAUCCUCACUUAAUAGAUAAUGGAAAAAGUUGCUUGCAGCACAGAGCCUGCUACAGACAAUGCCUUCAAUUAAUGCAAACUAUUAAUAUUAUGAAAAGUGAGUAUCUGUUUUCUGACAAUGUUUUCAAUAAUAUAAAUUCUGCCUUUGUUCACUUUAUUUGUUUGAAAAAACAAAUAAAAAACCAAACAAAAAAGUGUCUUAAAAGUGUCCAUUUGUCUUUCUUCUUGACUCCUAGUAACGCUUUCCUGUGUUUAGGGAAUUUUCACCUCAUGGGUUUUGGUGAGUGAAUGAAUUCAUCUCCCUCUACAGAAAAGAAGAAUGCCUGAUGCAUUUUCUCAGCCUUUAUUCCAGGUAGUCAGGUAGACUAUGGACUCCAGCAAUUAGAUACACUCCUCACAACCCCUCCAUUACACACACACACACACACACACACACACACACACACACACACACACACGGCUGCUGGAGUUGCAGGGUCUGGAAGGAACUGUCUGGCAGGGAUGGAGUGUGCAGGGUGCCUAGUGAGUUCCAGCGUGGCCGUGGCUGCCCUGGCUGUGGCAGCACCAGGGCUCUAAGCCGGGCCCUGCAGACUGGCUCAAUCUGCAGCAUGGGCGCUCUCUCUUACUUCCCAUUCCCAGGACACAUCCUGUGCAGGGGAAGAGUGAGUCCUUCUAGUUGUAGCCACAGGCCCAUUGGUCUGCUGACCUCCACCUCCUCAA